rnacentral:rRNA from 1 species
AAGAAGUAGGUAGCUUAACCUUCGGGAGGGCGCUUACCACUUUGUGAUUCAUGACUGGGGUGAAGUCGUAACAAGGUAACCGUAGGGGAACCUGCGGUUGGAUCACCUCCUUACCUUGAAGAAGC